UGUUGUGCGCAGCGGAAGCUUAUGCACCAAUAUCCAAGAUUGAAAUAGUGUGUGAAUCAAACAAAGCAAAAAACAAAACAAACAAAACACAAGAUUUACGUGGUUCGGCAAAUAUUGCCUACGUCCACGACCAAAACAACAAUCUUCCAAUUAGAGACGAUUAUACAAGCCCUCUCGAAGAAACCAAAGUGUUCUUCCUCACAAGAGUUCUCUCAACUCACCAAUGGCUUCUCACAAUCUCUCUCUCAAACAAAGAUUAGGUUUUCCAACCUUCUCAAUUGGCUUUAUAACAUAGCCAUACAAACACACACGAAAUGGGCUUAAAACCGGCCCAUAUACACAAAACCGAGAUAGGACGUACGUACGUCGAAUUGACGUUCGUACGUUCAGCCACAAAACCAACAUCUGUCGAAUGGAACGUACGAACGUCCUAAGAACGUACGUACGUUCCUGAACAAAAAGUUCACUUCCAUCAAAAAAUCCAACAAUUCUCCACCUCGGCGAAGAUUCAAUAAAUCUAAGCCGAUACCAAGUUACAAACUUCCACACAUGUCCCGAAGGACCAAAGCGGUUGCACCACCUCAUGGUUGCCUACGUACCCUUCUUCUAAGGGAUCAAACCACCGUAGUUCACUCCAAUGACAUCUAUACGAUGCCCACCAUACCCCGAAGGGUCAAAUUCCCACAAGGGGCCAAAUCAAGUCAAAUGCCCACCAAUGCCCGUAGAGGGCCAACAACCAUAAUCCAAAACAAUGGGGUCCAAGCUACCAAAUACUAUCUCCACUUUAUGACCAUAACCGACUGAAGAUGAGUAUGAAUCAACACCCCGAAACCUACAAAGGUCUCCAAUCAACGGCUUCACAGCUCCAAUUGGCUCAUGGGCUUGAGCCUUCAAACAAACAUCUGUGGCUAGCAAACUAACAUCAGCUGUGUUACCAGACAAACUUUCAUAAGGAGCGGCAUCAAUCUCCACCUGCUGAGAUAUCUCUUCCAACUUCAAACUAUCAUUCAAACAAGGAUGCCCAAAACAAACUUUACGUACCUUACCACCAUUCAACAAGCCAUGCUUGCCGGUACGCCUACCAAAGCCACAAUCAACCAAACAAUCUGACAAACUGGGAGGAGUCAAACAAUCUACCAAAUGUGAAGAAGAAUCUCCACCACAACCAACAACACUACCAUUCAGAUAGUACAAAUUUCGUUGCCUUGUCCCUUUCAUAACAACCAAAGCACCAGAAACAACCUUUAAAGCCCCAUUUUGCAGAACAAUCUUCAUACCUUCGGACUCUAAAGUACCAAGUGAGAUGAGAUUCAUCUUCAACUCCGGAACAUACCGGACACCAACUAAUUCUUUAACUGUACCAUUUUCCAACUUCAACUUGACAGUUCCCACACCAAGUGUUUUCAUGUGACGACCAUCACCUAACACAACAUCUUCACAGUCUAGCUUUUGAAAACUAACAAACAAAUCUCUACUGUGACACAAAUGGUGAAAACAUGCAGAAUCCAUAAUCCACCCUUGAGUGGAGCAAUCAACCAUGACAGCCAAAGAAUAAUUUGAAUCAUCAUCACUAACAUCAGCAUGUGCAACAUUUACCUUAUUAUCUUUGGAAGACCCAGAAUCUUCCUUCUUUGACAACUCGGGACAAUCAACCUUCCAAUGGCCUUUUCCAUGACAAAAGGCACACUCAUCCUUUGCUAGAGGUCUACCUCUAGACUUUGAUCGAGAUCUUCCUCCACUACCAAUAGUACGAUCAUUGGAUCGUCCCCUUACCAUCAAAGCCUCGGACGUUGAACCUGAACCCCUAUGGACUUCUUUGUCCUUGCGCCUGCAUUCAUAGUUCAGUAACGCCGUUGCUACAUCACCAUACUUAACAUGUUCUUUCCCCGUCAACAAAGUGGUGGACAAAUGGUCAUAUUCAUCGGGGAGAGAGUUCAAAAGACAAAGAGACUUGUCAUUAUCACUGACAACCUCAUCCAAGUUCAAUAGGUCAGCAAUAAGCCUAUUGAAUUCAUCCAGAUGUUCGGACAAAGAAAUACCAGGUCUCAUAUCAAUGCGGAAGAUCCUCUUCUUCAGAAACAGCUUGGUUUCUAAACUUUUCUUCAUAUACAUAUCAGCCAAUUUCUUCCACAACUCCUUAGCAGACGUCUCUUUCAUCACCGAGUAUUUCUGGUCCUUUUCCAAACAAAGGCGAAUCACGCCACAAACUUGCCUAUUCAAUUUCAACCAAUCAUCUUCUUUCAUCUCUUCGGGUUUAUCACCCAAAGCAUCUUCCAAACCUUGCUGAGCAAGCAAAUCCAGAACUUCGCACUGCCACAUGCCGAAGUUGUUUCUACCAUUGAAUUUCUCAAUGUCAAACUUCAAAGAUGACACUCUACCACUCUUACUCGAAGAUGGGUCUGUCAUCACUAAUCACUUUCACACACUAAACAAUCACCAAUCGAAGGUAAACAAAUCUGAAAUUCACACGGGAAUUUCAACAAACACCUUCUUGACAACCCACGGAUACAAGAUAGAACUUUUGCCUUGACACACAAAUAAGAAACUCACCUGCAGAAAUUUCUUCAAACACCUUCAAGACGCUCAAGAUCUAGCCUGCAGCUCUGAUACCACUUGUUGUGCGCAGCGGAAGCUUAUGCACCAAUAUCCAAGAUUGAAAUAGUGUGUGAAUCAAACAAAGCAAAAAACAAAACAAACAAAACACAAGAUUUACGUGGUUCGGCAAAUAUUGCCUACGUCCACGACCAAAACAACAAUCUUCCAAUUAGAGACGAUUAUACAAGCCCUCUCGAAGAAACCAAAGUGUUCUUCCUCACAAGAGUUCUCUCAACUCACCAAUGGCUUCUCACAAUCUCUCUCUCAAACAAAGAUUAGGUUUUCCAACCUUCUCAAUUGGCUUUAUAACAUAGCCAUACAAACACACACGAAAUGGGCUUAAAACCGGCCCAUAUACACAAAACCGAGAUAGGACGUACGUACGUCGAAUUGACGUUCGUACGUUCAGCCACAAAACCAACAUCUGUCGAAUGGAACGUACGAACGUCCUAAGAACGUACGUACGUUCCUGAACAAAAAGUU
rnacentral:lncRNA from 1 species